rnacentral:lncRNA from 1 species
GGUUUCCAAUUUCCGUAGAAAAAUGUGAGGGAUAUCUUGACUCCUAUACAUGUUGAAGCCACCUACCACCUCGGAGAGAAUGUUCUAAAGAAUCAAAGUUCAGAUGAACUCCCACCACUCCAGCCAGUUCUUCAACAACGAACUGAGGAUGAUGUCAUACGCAGCAAGGUAUGUUUGUGUUUGCGAAAGUGGCAUGUUUGCACCUGAAACAGGGUUUUUUGGGGGGUUUUUUUGCAUACUUAUUGCUAUUUGUUUUUCCUCCAACAUUUAUAUGCCUCUCUGUAACGUAAAGUUUUCUGGAAAACUUAAAAUAAGUAAAAACAGUUGAAUUGAAAAAUAAGUUUCCAAUUGCAUUUGUGUGUAUGUUUAUGUUUUGUAUUUAUGUAUUUUUGGGGCCACUGUAGCAGCUCUUGAGAAUUGGAGAUGUGGAGUAUGAAUUUAUUAAAUAAAUGAAUGGUCCAGAUUUAAGCAGCUUGCACUGUGUGUUUAUCUAAAAAAUGCUACUUUUAGGACUGCCAUCUUCGUUUGCUUUUUUAAAAAAUGUUUUUAUCGAAAUAUUUUGCAAAGGUACAUUCAGUGUCUCUGUUUUUAAAUCAUAGCAUCCUUCAUACAAAUCAAUUACCGUCAGUUUGAGACACAUUUUUAUCCUAGAGAGAAUGGCUUCAGAAAUAUUACUUGUGAAGCCAGUCCUAUGGAUACAGAGCCAUGAGAGUAAACAAGGGGUCAGCAAACUACAGCCCCCAGGGGGCUGGUUCACUGUCCCUCAGACACUGUUGGGGGCUGGACAGGAAGGACAAGCUGGUGCCUUACCUGCAGCUGCCACCCUGUGCAGGUGUUUCUGCCCCUUCGUCCUACUGCUCUCCAGAGGUGAAGGCCACCGCCUGGGCCACUUUGCCGCCAGCCUCAUCAUCCUCCACCGUCACGUCAGCCGCCAAUGGCAACGCAGCAGCUGUGGCCCCGCUGAGCCCUAGCCCAGGCCAGUUGUCCUCCUCCAGGAAUGCAGCUGCUGCCCCACACAUGGGAAUGCUGAGCGGGAGCAGCCACAGCAGCACCAGGGCAGCGGCAGUGGGAGGAAGAGGCCGAGCGGCAGCAGCUCCGCCAAUCAAACUCCGCUCCUGGUUUACCUAAGUGUGGUGUGGGGACGUAUCUGCCAAUCAAACUCCGCGCCUGGUUUACCUCAGCGCAGCGCGGCAUUUGAUUGGCAGAGACGUCCCCAUCCCACCCUGAGGUAAACCAGGCGCGGCGUUUGAUUGGCAGAGACGUCCCCAUCCCACCCUGAGGUAAACCAGGCAUGGUGUUUGAUAGGCAGAGCCUCCGCUUCUCAGCCUCUUCCUCCCGCUGCCUUCGCUGGGAGUCUCGGCUUCGCAGCGGGUUCUUAAAUGGCCAGGCUGGAUUUAGAAGCCUGCUGGGCCUGAUACGGCCCAGGAACCAUAGUUUGCUGACCCCUGGAAUAUACUUUCCCUUGCUCUGUACGAAACUUUGAAUAGCAGUUAAUUUAUAAGUGUGUGCGCAUGUGUGUGUGCACAGCCUUCUGCUGCUGGCCUAGUUUUCCGGAUCCGGGCAAAUAUGUUCAUUUCCUGAUCUAAUUUUAAGUGCUCCAAUGCAGUGUUUAAGAGCCUAAUAAACCCCUUCAAAUUAAUAAAUGUUUCCCUCGGCAAAUACUGUUGUGAUGAAAGGUCAAAUGGAUUUGUUUCCAUACCUCAUGAAGCAUCUUAGUUAGCAUCAAGCCAGUCUGAAAAAAAGUCAAAUAAAAAAUUGUCUGCACUACAUCAGUCCACUGACGGUAUAUUGUGCAGUGGGAUCACAAGUGGGGAGAUUGCUGUUGCAUUCAGGUCCUGCUGUUUAUAGUGACCAUGGUGAAAACAGAAGAUGGGGCUAGAUAGUCCUUUUGGAGUCUCUCUUUAUGGUCAGUAAUACCAUGUGUAUGUUGUUUAGGCUGAUGUUGUGUUAGGAGCCUCCCAGAGGUAUCUGUUGAGGGUUGCCUAGAAAGAGCUGUUUCCUUUUGGGUCCCUUGCUUUGUUGUUGUUGACAGUGGAAGGUACUAGACUUGUGUGUAAAGAAUGAGAGAGAGGAGUGAGGACCUGCCAGUAAAAUACUGUUUUAAAUUAACAGUCUGAGUUUCAGAGUGAAAAGGGUUUUACUUCUGAAAAUGUAUGGAUAUGGGACGCAGGUGGCGCUGUGGGUUAAACCACAGAGCCUAGGACUUGCUGUUCAGAAGGUCGGCGGUUCGAAUCCCCGUGUCAGAGUGAGCUCCCGUUGCUUGGUCCCUGCUCCUGCCAACCUGGCAGUUCGAACGCACGUCAAAGUGCAAGUAGAUAAAUAGGUACCACUCCGUGGGAAGGUAAACGGCUUUUCCGUGCGCUGCUGUGGUUCACCAGUAGCAGCUUAGUCAUGCUGGCCACAUGACCCGGAAGCUGUACGCCGGCUCCCUCGGCCAAUAAAGCGAGAUGAGCGCCGCAACCCCAGAGUCAGCCAUGACUGGACCUAAUGGUCAGGGGUUCCUUUAUCUUUACCUUUAUGUAUGGAUAUGGUAUUGUAUUUGACCCUAAAUAAUUGUUGUUUUUCUCUUUUAUAGUUCAUGUUUGCAAGAUUUUGCUCUCAAGAAAAUUGCUCUGCUAACUUGCAAGUUUCUGGAAAACUUACAUUCCCGAGG